rnacentral:misc_RNA from 1 species
UUCUGACGAUUGCACCCGAUCUGCACCACGGCUGGAAGAACAUCGGCGAGACCGAAGCUGUCAUCAUCAAUAUGCCGGACAGAAUGUACAAUCACGAAAGUCCCGAUGCCCUCGACCUGCCAUGGGAUUCCGAGGACGCUGCCGAGACGGUGCCUUACCGUUGGUAAAUCGUCCCGCGAUUACCGUCGUCAUCCCGACCUACAACUGGAGCGCGGCGCUUCGCUGCGCCAUCCGUUCGGUACUGCUGCAAACCGA